rnacentral:SRP_RNA from 1 species
GCCGGGCAUGGUGGCACAUGCCUGUGGUCCCAGCUACUAGGGAGGCUGAGGUGGGAUGAUUGCUUGAGCCCAGGAGGUCGGGGCUGCAGUGAGCCAAGAUUGCACCACUGCAACUACAGCCUGGGCAACAGAGAAGGAUCCUGUCUCAA